GACGAACGCUGGCGGCGUGCUUAACACAUGCAAGUCGAACGGAAAGGCCCUGCUUUUGUGGGGUGCUCGAGUGGCGAACGGGUGAGUAACACGUGAGUAACCUGCCCUUGACUUUGGGAUAACUUCAGGAAACUGGGGCUAAUACCGGAUAGGAGCUCCUGCUGCAUGGUGGGGGUUGGAAAGUUUCGGCGGUUGGGGAUGGACUCGCGGCUUAUCAGCUUGUUGGUGGGGUAGUGGCUUACCAAGGCUUUGACGGGUAGCCGGCCUGAGAGGGUGACCGGCCACAGUGGGACUGAGAUACGGCCCAGACUCCUACGGGAGGCAGCAGUGGGGAAUAUUGCAAAAUGGGCGGAAGCCUGAUGCAGGAACGCCGCGUGCGGGAUGACGGCCUUCGGGUUGUAAACCGCUUUCGCCUGUGACGAAGCGUGAGUGACGGUAAUGGGAAAGAAGCACCGGCUAACUACGUG
rnacentral:rRNA from 1 species